GACGAACGCUGGCGGCGUGCCUAAUACAUGCAAGUCGAGCGAAUGACGAGAAGCUUGCUUCUCUGAUUUAGCGGCGGGCGGGUGAGUAACACGUGGGCAACCUGCCCUACAGAUCGGGAUAACGCAGGGAAACCUGGGCUAAUACCGGAUAAUCCUUCGCAUCACAUGGUUUGAAGUUGAAAGGCGGUUCGGCGUCACUGUAGGAGGGGCCCGCGGUGCAUUAGCUAGUUGGUGGGGUAAAGGCCUACCAAGGCAACGAUGCAUAGCCGACCUGGGAGGGGGGUCGGCCACAUUGGGACUGAGACACGGCCCAAACUCCUACGGGAGGCAGCAGUAGGGAAUCUUCCACAAUGGACGAAAGUCUGAUGGAGCAACGCCGCGUGAGUGAUGAAGGUUUUCGGAUCGUAAAACUCUGUUGUAAGGGAAGAACAAGUACGUUAGGAAAUGAACGUACCUUGACGGUACCUUAUUAGAAAGCCACGGCUAACUACGUGCCAGCCGCCGCGGUAA
rnacentral:rRNA from 1 species